UACGUAGGGACCAAGCGUUGUUCGGAUUUACUGGGCGUAAAGGGCGCGUAGGCGGCAAUUCAAGUCAUCUGUGAAAUCUCCGGGCUUAACUCGGAACGGUCAGAUGAUACUGCUUUGCUAGAGUGCGGAAGGGGCAAUCGGAAUUCUUGGUGUAGCGGUGAAAUGCGUAGAUAUCGGAAAGAACACCAACGGCGAAAGCACUCUGCUGGGCCGACACUGACACUGAGAGACGAAAGCUAGGGGAGCGAAUGGG
rnacentral:rRNA from 1 species